rnacentral:misc_RNA from 1 species
GUCCUAAAAUGGUUUGACUCAGUUGUGUAAUCCUUUUCCUCAAAGCCCUCUCUGGUUUCUAUGGUCAAAUUCUUCAUGAGAUGUUUGAUAUCAUUUGUUGUAGUAAGUGUCAUCUCAAGCCAUCUUUAGCUUCAUCUUUCCCUCCUCUUUUAUUUCCGUUUGAUUUCAAUUGUUCUUUCACUUACACAUACAAAUGGCUGUUUUGUAUAUGGUUGAACCCCAAUGUCGUUGUUACUUUCUUCCUUUUUGUUUUAUUUUUUUUCCAUGACCUCUUUGAGAGAAAAUUACAUCCUCUCUGUCCAGGCAG